UGCCAGAGAAAAACGAGAAUUAUGGAAGCAUUGAGAGAAAUAAUCAAUGGACAGAAAAUGCUAAACGCUCUCAUUGUCAAACUGGAAGCAAAUCAAACGGCCUUACUUCGGAAUCAGAGCGUUUUCA